GCCCUCCAGAUGGGCUAUGGCCGGGAAGAGGUCAGGGAGCAAGGGGGCCACGGGGAUCCGGGGCGUGGGACUCGGGCCCCGGCCUGAGUCUUAGGUAUCCGUAGCGCCCUCCUUCUUCCUCCUCUUCGCUGAAUACAGCUCACGGUAAGUACUGGUUCACACAGUUCGUUCUCGAGGUGCUCACUCUCUUUCUCUUCCUCCACAGGCAACGGCUGGGACACAAAAGCACAGUUAGUUCAGCUUGGUUUUGCUCUCACCUCUUCGCUGAUUACAGCUCACAGUAUCAACUUAGGCACAAUAGCACAGUUAGUUUGCUUUGAAUGGCUCUCACCUCUGGGCUGAACACAGCGUACUG
ensembl:lncRNA